UACGUAGGGCGCAAGCGUUAUCCGGAAUUAUUGGGCGUAAAGAGCUCGUAGGCGGUUGUCGCGUCUGCCGUGAAAGUCCGGGGCUCAACUCCGGAUCUGCGGUGGGUACGGGCAGACUAGAGUGAUGUAGGGGAGACUGGAAUUCCUGGUGUAGCGGUGAAAUGCGCAGAUAUCAGGAGGAACACCGGUGGCGAAGGCGGGUCUCUGGGCCGUAACUGACGCUGAGGAGCGAAAGCAUGGGGGAGCGAACAGG
rnacentral:rRNA from 1 species